rnacentral:rRNA from 1 species
GACGAACGCUGGCGGCGUGCCUAAUACAUGCAAGUUGAGCGCUGAAGGUUGGUCCUUGUACCAACUGGAUGAGCAGCGAACGGGUGAGUAACGCGUGGGGAAUCUGCCUUUGAGCGGGGGACAACAUUUGGAAACGAAUGCUAAUACCGCAUAAAAACUUUAAACACAAGUUUUAAGUUUGAAAGAUGCAAUUGCAUCACUCAAAGAUGAUCCCGCGUUGUAUUAGCUAGUUGGUGAGGUAAAGGCUCACCAAGGCGAUGAUACAUAGCCGACCUGAGAGGGUGAUCGGCCACAUUGGGACUGAGACACGGCCCAAACUCCUACGGGAGGCAGAAGGAGGGAAUCUUCGGCAAUGGACGAAAGUCUGACCGAGCAACGCCGCGUGAGUGAAGAAGGGUUUCGGAUCGUAAAACUCUGUUGGUAGAGAAGAACGUUGGUGAGAGUGGAAAGCUCAUCAAGUGACGGUAACUACCCAGAAAGGGACGGCUAACUACGUG